AGCUCAAUGAUUGUAUGCCUUUUGGGCAAUAUACGCUAUGCCGAUUUAAAUCAUGAGUAGAUGAAUUUUUACAAGUAUGAGAGCU